rnacentral:rRNA from 1 species
AGAUUGAACGCUGGCGGCAUGCCUUACACAUGCAAGUCGAACGGCAGCACGGGAGCAAUCCUGGUGGCGAGUGGCGAACGGGUGAGUAAUACAUCGGAACGUGCCCAGUAGUGGGGGAUAACCCGGCGAAAGCCGGACUAAUACCGCAUACGACCUACGGGUGAAAGCAGGGGAUCGCAAGACCUUGCGUUAUUGGAGCGGCCGAUGUCAGAUUAGCUUGUUGGCGGGGUAAAAGCCCACCAAGGCGACGAUCUGUAGCUGGUCUGAGAGGACGACCAGCCACACUGGGGACUGAGACACGGCCCAGACUCCUACGGGAGGCAGCAGUGGGGAAUUUUGGACAAUGGGGGAAACCCUGAUCCAGCCAUGCCGCGUGAGUGAUGAAGGCCUUCGGGUUGUAAAACUCUUUCGACGGGGACGAUAAUGACGGUACCCGUAGAAGAAGCUCCGGCUAACUUCGUGCCAGCAGCCGC